CUAUAUUAAAUUUUUAUUAAAUAUAAAAAUAUAUUUAUAAAAAAAAAAGACGACAAGACCCUAUUAAACUUUACCAAAUUUGUUUAACUGGGGCAGUUAUCUAAAAAAAACUUUAAUAAAACAUUAUAUAAUAAAAAUCUAUUAAAAAUAAUAUUUAAACAAGUUACUAUAGGGAUAACAGCAUAAUAUUUUUCUAAAGAUCUUAUAAAAAAAAAUGAUUGUGACCUCGAUGUUGAAUUAUAUUCUUUAU
rnacentral:rRNA from 1 species